AGUACCGUGAGGGAAAGUUGAAAAGAACUCUGAAGAGAGAGUUAAAUAGUACGUGAAACCGAAUAGGCGGAAGCGUAUAGAGUUGUCGAAAGAUGGUAAUACUAAGUUUCAUAGGAGUGUAACAUGGAGUUAGUUGUUUCCGUAAGGUUCAAUUAAUUUUAGUAGUUUGCUUCUAUGGGAUGCACUUGUUGCCAUUGUGCCGAUACUAUUGAUGAAUGCUUUGGAAACUAAAAAAGAGGGCAUAACUUCGGUUGUGUAUCCUAGAUUAGUGGAUAUUGCUAUUUGUUAAUAGAGGUAUGGAGCUAAAGGAAAGUGGAUGUAUUAUAAUACUCAUUGGUUAACGCUUGCGUUAGUCUUUAAGCGUUGUGAUAUAUUCAUCUACUGAUAGUUUCGUUAUAUCGGUAUAAAAGACAAUCACCUAUAUGUCCCGUCUUGAAACACGGACCAAGGAGUUUAUCGUAUGUGCGAGUCAUUGAGUGAUUAAAACUCAUUGGCGUAAUGAAAGUAAAGUAUACAUCAGUAUAUGAUAUGUGAUAAGUAAACUUCGGUGAGCUUAGCAACAUAGUCCAAUCUAAAAUGUUUACAUUUGGGUUGAGAUAGAGCAUAUGCGAUGAGACCCGAAAGAUGGUGAACUAUGCCUGAACAGGAUGAAGUCAGAGGAAACUCUGAUGGAAGUCCGAAGCGGUUCUGACGUGCAAAUCGAUCGUCUGAUUUGGGUAUAGGGGC
rnacentral:rRNA from 2 species